CCUACGGGGAGCAGCAGUGAGGAAUAUUGGUCAAUGGACGCAAGUCUGAACCAGCCAUGCCGCGUGCAGGAAGACGGCUCUAUGAGUUGUAAACUGCUUUUGUACGAGGGUAAACGCAGAUACGCGUAUCUGUCUGAAAGUAUCGUACGAAUAAGGAUCGGCUAACUCCGUGCCAGCCGCCGCGGUAAUACGGAGGAUUCAAGCGUUAUCCGGAUUUAUUGUGUUUAAAGGGUGCGUAGGCGGUCGGAUAAGUUAGAGGUGAAAUCCCGAGGCUCAACUUCGGAAUUGCCUCUGAUACUGUUCGUCUAGAGAGUAGUUGCGGUAGGCGGAAUGUAUGGUGUAGCGGUGAAAUGCUUAGAGAUCAUACAGAACACCGAUUGCGAAGGCAGCUUACCAAGCUACUUCUGACGUUGAGGCACGAAAGCGUGGGGAGCAAACAGGAUUAGAUACCCUAGUAGUC
rnacentral:rRNA from 1 species